UUCCCUUUAAAACUGUUUUUUGGUAGGCUAUUUGAGUUUUUUUCCUGCUCUGCAGUCAUUUGUUUUGACUCCAGGUAAUCCUGGUUUGAAAAAGUAGGUUAACUGAGAUGCUGUGAGAGAUGCAUACUUUUGGGAUCUUGCCCUGAUGCUUAAAUUGCCUUCCAUGACAAGUAAAACAUCUUGUGAUGUCUGAAAAAACUUUUCCUCUCCCUACAUCUAUAUGUCUGCCAUUUCUUAAUUUUUCUAUUGGCUAAUUUAAAAUGUGCCUAUUGAAGGCAUGGUGCCUUGAGAGUUCUACAAAUUAAUUCUGCAUCAGGUUGGCAAUUUAUCUAGGUCCAAAAGGAGAUAGUUAUGAACUCUUGGCUCCAUGUAUUAUUUUAUCAUAAAACUUUUAAAUUGUGUUUCAAAAGAGUCUUUGGCAUUAUGUUUGUGGGUUAUGCUAGCAACUGUGUAAUGUCAGAUUUCCCCCCCAACUCUUAGUUUUCCCCAUUAGAAGUAUUCACUUCAGAAGAUAUAUUCUUAAAAAAUUAUUUGACUGUGUAGGGUCUUAGUUGCAGCAUGUGGGAUCUUUCAUUGCAGCACACACACUCUAGUUAUGGCGUGCAGGCCCAGUAGUCGCUGCACAGAGGCUCAGUCGCCCCACAGCAUGUAGGAUCUUAGUUGCCCAAUCAGAAAUUGAACCUGCAUCCCUGGAUUGCAAGAUGGAUUCUUAACCACUGGAAACACCAGGGAAGUUCUUAGAAGACAUAGUCUUGACUUAUUCUGUUUCUGUAACUCCCAAGCUGUAUUGUGUUCCCGCUUUCAUGGACCAUCUAGAUCCCUUGCUAUUCCAGGGCUACCAAAUUUUAUUAAGUUGUUCGGGAUGAUGGACAUCUUUCAACUUUUGACUGCUAUUUUCCUUCCUUUGGUCUAGUCACGUCAAAGAUGUCUGCUCCCCAAACCAACCUUUACUUCCUUGGCUCUCAGAAGUCAGGUGUACUAAUACCAUAAGUAAUGAUAUAAAAUGUGAUGGCUCAUCUUUGGUAGCUCAUUUCAAAAGGGCUACUGCUCUUCCAACCUUUUUUUUUUUUUUUGGUUCCUAUUGGGUUAAGUUCAGGUCAAUUACUCUGAGACAAAAUGUGCUCUUUCCAUGUCAGCUUCCAGUCAGGACCCUUUCCAAUAUGAGUCAUUGAUGGAAGUUAUCAAUCAUGGAAGAUACAUGAAAAUACAUAUACUUUCCAGACAUGACCAUCACAGUAACAGGAGUUACAAGCACCCCAUAGUCUCUAUCAUAAAAGACUUUAUAAUGGAGCAUGAGAGAAAAGACAUGGACCAAUUGAUUAUGAAAUAAAGAUAAUUAAAAACUUGAUGGUUGGAUACUACAGAAAUCAAUGCAGCAGAUCAGGAGGAAUGGGGAGAAAAAGAACCUUCUGAAGGAAUCUCUUGUGUUCAUGGA
ensembl:lncRNA